GGGAGAGACGCGCAUUCUGUCGCACAACCUUCUCUCGUCGGAAUUCCUGCAAUGCCGAGGCCAGGCGUACCCUCAGCUGCGCUGCCAUGGCCUGCAAUAUAGAGACUGGGUUUAGCUUUCAACAUAGCGUGGAACAUGGUAAACAAGUGGAAUAUCAGACGAAGGUUCAAUACUAAGCAAGAAGAAAUGUGUAAGGAAUGCACAAUGAUCAUGAAGGGGUGAAUGGAAUUCUGAACCUGUCCUACUAGACGACGACAAAACCAUAUUCUGAACAACGGGGAAACCAUGAAACUGAAGGAUAGUUACUGUCCAGAACGCUGUGGAGCUCGUGAUUAAAAAGAAUGACCAGCGUCCGCAGUCAUCACAGACUACAAUUUAGAUUUACAUAAAGUUACUAUUUUCCAAUACAUUACAUUUAAUGCCAAUUUGAUUGUAUUACAGCACUGUCAGUAAUCACCUUUUACGUUUAUUUUUGAAUGAUAUCCCUAAAUACUCGAGUGGUUCUCGAACUUUUUAAUUUCAAUGUUAAGAAUUCCAAUUUUGACUGAUUUCUUGCAGUGUAACAUUAUCUUCCUCGAGAGAGACUCACCUCCGCUUUCUCAUUCUU